rnacentral:lncRNA from 1 species
GACACGCCGUGUGGCAAGAACACUGACGCGGGAAGCCAUGCAGGACGGGGCCAUGUGAGCGAUCCGCGUGCGCGCGAUCGGACGGUCCAGAUCCAUUCCCACGCGCACGGACGACCUAGAUCAAAAGCGCGCACGGACGGCCCAGAUCUCACGCGUGCGGAUGGCACAGAUCGAAUCACGCACGGACGACCCAGAUUUAUUCCCAUAUUAGUCGCGAUCGGACUGUCCAGAUUAAAUCGUGAUGGACGACUGAGAUUAAAAGUGAAAGGUUAUAAAUAACCUCACCUACACCCAACCCUAAACCCUAGCCGCCAAUACCCUC